CUGAGCUAGUGAUGAUAAAAAGUUAUCCCUGUCUGAACUUGAUCUUUCCUCUGUGGAAGCAUAAUUCUGAGGCUCAG
rnacentral:snoRNA from 1 species